AGUGAACGCUGGCGGUAGGCCUAACACAUGCAAGUCGAACGGCAGCACAGUAAGAGCUUGCUCUUACGGGUGGCGAGUGGCGGACGAGUGAGGAAUACAUCGGAAUCUACUUUUUCGUGGGGGAUAACGUAGGGAAACUUACGCUAAUACCGCAUACGACCUACGGGUGAAAGCAGGGGAUCUUCGGACCUUUCGCGAUUGAAUGAGCCGAUGUCGGAUUAGCUAGUUGGCGGGGUAAAGGCCCACCAAGGCGACGAUUCGUAGCUGGUCUGAGAGGAUGAUCAGCCACACUGGAACUGAGACACGGUCCAGACUCCUACGGGAGGCAGCAGUGGGGAAUAUUGGACAAUGGGCGCAAGCCUGAUCCAGCCAUACCGCGUGGGUGAAGAAGGCCUUCGGGUUGUAAAGCCCUUUUGUUGGGAAAGAAAAGCAGCAGGUUAAUACCCCGCUGUUCUGACGGUACCCAAAGAAUAAGCACCGGCUAACUUCGUG
rnacentral:rRNA from 1 species